rnacentral:lncRNA from 1 species
ACUUGGUGAAAUUCCUCAGGGAUUUUGAGACAUCAAAGCAAUCUCUCUAGUUCUGGAAAGACUGAAUUUGCAGCAUCUGCUGAAAUGAGGAAUAAUCAAUGUUCACCAGCGGAAAUUGAAAAGCAAAGAGAUGGGGAAGAUUCCAAGGAUCCACUCAAGUUCCUGGUGUUUUUGUGAAUGUUCUGUGUUUAAGACAUGCUUUUGUUUAGGAGAAGACAUGAGCUGAGCCAACUGGGAUAAAGAAGAGGUUGAAAAUGCGUAUGGCUUAGACAGAGUAAAGAGUUUUAGAUAAAAUAUCGGGGUAACUUUUAGAGUCUUGGCUUAAGGCCAAAGCUUCUGAAUCAAGGAAAGAGUGACAGUUGCCUUCCUCUAUUUUUAUUAAUAUACAGGUGUGUUACCAUUAUUACCUGCCAGAAAGAGCAUAAUAUUAAUCCAAUCAAAUUAUAUGAGUCCUACAGUAGAAAUAUUGCAGACAUUUAAUAUUAUAUUGAAGUUUAAUUAAUGGUAAGACAUUUCAAGGUGGUAAUAGUUAUAUGCAGCUCUUUGGCUAAAAGUCAAAGUGUGAUAUAUACAGAAUAGAAACGAUGCUGGACUGCCAGAAAAUCUGCCUCUCCCUCCCACUCCCCCAAGAUCUAUUAGGAACGAGCAUUUACUGUUAUUAUUUCAAAUAUUUAUGCAAAGUAAUUUUAAAUGAUUUAAACAUUCCAUAUAUCAAUCAAAGUUAAUAAUAAGUUAGAUUCUGAAACAUUUGUGCCAUUAACAACAGUCAGAAAGAUAACAUUAUUUCAUUGGUAUUAAAUGAGGCAA